rnacentral:rRNA from 1 species
GACGAACGCUGGCGGCGUGCCUAAUACAUGCAAGUCGAGCGGGCCUCCGGAGGUGCUUGCACCUCCGGAAGGCCAGCGGCGGACGGGUGAGUAACACGUGGGCAACCUGCCUUUGAGGCCGGGAUAACACCGGGAAACCGGUGCGAAUACCGGAUACGUCCUCUUUCGCGCCUGCGAGAGGGGAGAAAGACGGUCGUUAAGGCCGUCGCUCAACGAGGGGCCCGCGGUGCAUUAGCUGGUUGGUGGGGUAAGGGCCUACCAAGGCGACGAUGCGUUGCCGACCUGAGAGGGUGAUCGGCCACACUGGGACUGAGACACGGCCCAGACUCCUGCGGGAGGCAGCAGUAGGGAAUCAUCCGCAAUGGGCGAAAGCCUGACGGUGCAACGCCGCGUGAGUGAGGAAGGUUUUCGGAUCGUAAAGCUCUGUUGUGAGGGAAGAACAGCUUCCGGAGGAAAUGCCGGAGGUUUGCCGGUACCUCACCAGAAAGCCCCGGCUAACUACGUGCCAGCAGCCGCCGUAA